GGAAGAGCCUGCUGCUUUCUGGUGCUCAUCUGCUCAGGAUGAAUCAUUUUGACCUGAAAGAUAAAAACAUACUCUUGCAUUUAGACUGUAAGCUCACUGUGACCAGGACCAACAUUUUUUUUUUUGGUCUGGUUUAUAGAAAGCACUAAAUAAGCUGGUAACUUCAUUUGCGUGGUCCCUCACAAUUGAUAAACAUAUUCACACUUCAUCUCGCUUUAUCAUUAAAACCAACCUGGGGGGCAGGUGUUCUUAGCUCAUUUGGUAGAAGAGGGGGCUGAGAACUACAGAAGUGUGAGGAGCCAUGACUCUGGCAAACCCGAGGUCCAGGCUUCCUCCCUGGGCUCAGCUGUGCUCUGCCACAUUCAGGAUGGUUUGUAUGGCCCCUGCUCUGUCCCCCCAGGGAUGCCUGCCUAUGCCAUCACUGGCAUGGCUGGUGAAGCUGAAUGGGUGGUCUCCUGUAUCGUCCUUCAGCAUUUCCCGUGUGCUGAGUCCUCUACCUGUCCUGAUAUUUUCUCACAGUCUUUCAUUUUGAAUUUGGUGUAUAUCAGACAGAAUCCCAACCCAAUCUUCAACAAUGGACUGUAGACACCUGCUUUCUUCUCAAGUUCUCCCUCUCCCUUACCCUGCCCCUUUACCUGGGUAUUAUUAUUAUUUUAACUUCAAUUAAAAUAAGAACACAUUUGUAUUGAAGUGUAUGUGCACACAGGAAAAACUCCAUGUGUUCAUUUUUCAACAACAAAACAGGCUCCUGUGGUUUUGGCUCUGAGAAAGAAACUAAGUUGCCAGCUCCAGAAAACCUUCUGGUCCCUUCCCUGUCACCACCCCCUCAAAAGCUGACCAUUGGUG
rnacentral:lncRNA from 1 species